rnacentral:rRNA from 1 species
UAGCGUAGGGGGCAAGCGUUGUCCGGAAUCAUUGGGCGUAAAGAGCGUGUAGGCGGUUCGGUAAGUCGGCUGUGAAAGUCCAGGGCUCAACCCUGGGAUGCCGGUCGAUACUGCCGGACUAGAGUUCGGAAGAGGCGAGUGGAAUUCCCGGUGUAGCGGUGAAAUGACGCAGAUAUCGGGAGGAACACCUAUGGCGAAGGCAGCUCGCUGGGACGUUACUGACGCUGAGACGCGAAAGCGUGGGGGAGCAAACACGG